rnacentral:rRNA from 1 species
ACGGGAGGCAGCAGUGAGGAAUAUUGGUCAAUGGGCGGAAGCCUGAACCAGCCAAGUCGCGUGAAGGAAGACGGUAUUAUGUAUUGUAAACUUCUUUAGACGCAGAGAAAUAAGGGGCUCGCGAGCUCUGAUGCUAGUAUGCGUAGAAUAAGGAUCGGCUAACUCCGUGCCAGCAGCCGCGGUAAUACGGAGGCUCCGAGCGUUAUCCGGAUUUAUUGGGUUUACAGGGUGCGCAGGCGGCGCUUUAAGUCAGUGGUCAAAUCGGGAGGCUCAACCUCAUCCCGCCAUUUAUACUGGAGCGCUUGAUUGCGGUUGAGGUAGGCGGAAUUCGUCGUGUAGCGGUGAAAUGCAUAGAUAUGACGAAGAACCCCGAUUGCGUAGGCAGCUUACCAAGCCGUAAAUGACGCUCAUGCACGAAAGUGCGGGGAUCGAACAGGAUUAGAUACCCUGGUA